CCUACGGGAGGCAGCAGUGGGGAAUAUUGCACAAUGGGCGCAAGCCUGAUGCAGCGACGCCGCGUGAGGGAUGACGGCCUUCGGGUUGUAAACCUCUUUCAGUAGGGAAGAAGCGAAAGUGACGGUACCUGCAGAAGAAGCGCCGGCUAACUACGUGCCAGCAGCCGCGGUAAUACGUAGGGCGCAAGCGUUAUCCGGAAUUAUUGGGCGUAAAGAGCUCGUAGGCGGUUUGUCGCGUCUGCCGUGAAAGUCCGGGGCUCAACUCCGGAUCUGCGGUGGGUACGGGCAGACUAGAGUGAUGUAGGGGAGACUGGAAUUCCUGGUGUAGCGGUGAAAUGCGCAGAUAUCAGGAGGAACACCGAUGGCGAAGGCAGGUCUCUGGGCAUUAACUGACGCUGAGGAGCGAAAGCAUGGGGAGCGAACAGGAUUAGAUACCCUGGUAGUCCAUGCCGUAAACGUUGGGCACUAGGUGUGGGGGACGAUUCCACGUUUUCCGCGCCGUAGCUAACGCAUUAAGUGCCCGCCUGGGGAGUACGGCCGCAAGGCUAAAACUUAAAUGAAUUGACGG
rnacentral:rRNA from 1 species